rnacentral:rRNA from 1 species
GCCCAGAGUUUGAUCCUGGCUCAGGACGAACGCUGGCGGCGUGCCUAAUACAUGCAAGUCGAGCGCAGGAAACAGGCUGAUCCCUUCGGGGUGAUGCCUGUGGAAUGAGCGGCGGACGGGUGAGUAACACGUGGGCAACCUGCCUCACAGACUGGGAUAACUCCGGGAAACCGGAGCUAAUACCGGAUGACCAACGGAGUUGCAUAACUCUGUUGUAAAAGUUGGGAUUUAUCCUAACACUGUGAGAUGGGCCCGCGGCGCAUUAGCUAGUUGGUGAGGUAACGGCUCACCAAGGCGACGAUGCGUAGCCCGACCUGAGAGGGUGAUCGGCCACACUGGAACUGAGACACGGUCCAGACUCCUACGGGAGGCAGCAGUAGGGAAUCAUCCGCAAUGGGCGAAAGCCUGACGGUGCAAC